rnacentral:rRNA from 1 species
UACGUAGGCAGCAAGCGUUGUUCGGAGCUACUGGGCGUAAAGGGUGCGUAGGCGGCCCUGUAAGUAUGGUGUGAAAUCUCCCGGCUUAACUGGGAGGGUGCGCUAUAGACUGCGGGGCUCGAGUGUGGGAGAGGAAAGUGGAAUUCCUGGUGUAGCGGUGAAAUUCGUAGAUAUUCGGAAGAACACCAGUGGCGAAGGCGACUUACUGGACACAUAUUGACGCUGAGGUGCGAAAGCGUGGGGAGCAAACAGG